rnacentral:rRNA from 1 species
AGAGUUUGAUCAUGGCUCAGAGCGAACGCUGGCGGCAGGCUUAACACAUGCAAGUCGAGCGGACGUAGCAAUACGUCAGCGGCAGACGGGUGAGUAACGCGUGGGAACGUACCUUUUGGUUCGGAACAACACAGGGAAACUUGUGCUAAUACCGAAUAAGCCCUUACGGGGAAAGAUUUAUCGCCGAAAGAUCGGCCCGCGUCUGAUUAGCUAGUUGGUGGGGUAACGGCCCACCAAGGCGACGAUCAGUAGCUGGUCUGAGAGGAUGAUCAGCCACAUUGGGACUGAGACACGGCCCAAACUCCUACGGGAGGCAGCAGUGGGGAAUAUUGGACAAUGGGCGCAAGCCUGAUCCAGCCAUGCCGCGUGAGUGAUGAAGGCCCUAGGGUUGUAAAGCUCUUUUGUGCGGGAAGAUAAUGACGGUACCGCAAGAAUAAGCCCCGGCUAACUUCGUGCCAGCAGCCGCGGUAAUACGAAGGGGGCUAGCGUUGCUCGGAAUCACUGGGCGUAAAGGGUGCGUAGGCGGGUCUUUAAGUCAGGGGUGAAAUCCUGGAGCUCAACUCCAGAACUGCCUUUGAUACUGAGGAUCUUGAGUUCGGGAGAGGUGAGUGGAACUGCGAGUGUAGAGGUGAAAUUCGUAGAUAUUCGCAAGAACACCAGUGGCGAAGGCGGCUCACUGGCCCGAUACUGACGCUGAGGCACGAAAGCGUGGGGAGCAAACAGGAUUAGAUACCCUAGUAGUCC